GCCCAAGAGAUCGGGAUAACACCUGGAAACAGAUGCUAAUACCGGAUAACAACAGAUGAUGCCUAUCAACUGUUUAAAAGAUGGUUCUGCUAUCACUCUUGGAUGGACCUGCGGUGCAUUAGCUAGUUGGUAGGGUAACGGCCUACCAAGGCGAUGAUGCAUAGCCGAGUUGAGAGACUGAUCGGCCACAUUGGGACUGAGACACGGCCCAAACUCCUACGGGAGGCAGCAGC
rnacentral:rRNA from 1 species